AUUAAACAAACGUAUAAGGCAGAUAGAUAGCAGUGAUAUAUUA
rnacentral:guide_RNA from 1 species